rnacentral:lncRNA from 1 species
CCAGCGAGCGUUUCAAGAAGGCGAGAGCGAUCAACAAUAUCAAACCCAGCAGAGAAUUCCAAUAAGACAGGGAUGGAAAAACACCCGCUGAAGUUGGUAAUUAGGAGGUUAUCGGAGCCCUCAGCAAGAGAGUUUCAGGGGUGAGAUGGAGCAGAACCCCGACUGCAGCGCCUGAGUGUGAUAGAUAGUCAGCAAACACGCUCCUGGUACAGAAGUUUAGAUAAUUAAGUUUAGAUAAUUAGAAAAGUUUCAGGAAGGAUCGUCUGGAAGCUAGAGAGUGAAGUGUGGAGUCAAGAGAAAGUUCUCCACUCAGUCCAGCAGAUAGUUUUCGAGCACUUCCUAUGCGCUGGCCUACUGUUCAAGCAACCACGUGAACAAGACAGACACAUCCCUGCCCACACGCAGCCAACAGUCUAAAUGGGGAAACAGACAGGAAUCAAGCAAUCACCUGAAUCAAUGGAUAAUUACGAAUAACGAUAGUCACGAAGGAGAGAGAAUUUGAACGUGACCUUUGUGACUUAGCCACAUCUCACUUUAGCCGGAUGUCACCGUGCCCGUGGCCAGGUCUCUGUCUCGUUCAUUUUGGAAUCAUCCCCAGCCUGGAGCAGCUGACCAGGGACGGCUGAAU